AGAGCGAACGCUGGCGGCAGGCCUAACACAUGCAAGUCGAACGAACUCUUCGGAGUUAGUGGCGGACGGGUGAGUAACACGUGGGAACGUGCCUUUAGGUUCGGAAUAACUCAGGGAAACUUGUGCUAAUACCGAAUGUGCCCUUCGGGGGAAAGAUUUAUCGCCUUUAGAGCGGCCCGCGUCUGAUUAGCUUGUUGGUGGGGUAAUGGCCCACCAAGGCUACGAUCAGUAGCUGGUCUGAGAGGAUGACAGCCACA
rnacentral:rRNA from 1 species